CUGUCAGGUUAAUAAGUGGGAUUUCUUGCCUUAUAAAUAGUCAUGAAAAUAAAGAAAACCCAUUGAAUUAGAAGGUGUGUCCAAACGAAAUGAACAGAGGCCACUUUUGGGGUAUUUCUCCAUCAGUUUUGGACAUAAACAGAUUGAUAUUUUCAUCAGUUCCACCCUGGAAAAUAGCUUAAGCUGAGAUUGAAUGAGGAAAAUGUUGAACAUAAACAUUUAAGCACUGUAUCUACUUUACAACUGACCUAAUGUCUGCUGAAAAGUGAACUUCCACUUGCCACAAGUCAGUAUUUAAGAUGUUUUAAUUUUUCAUAUUUCUUUUGACAUAUUUCUUUUCUUUUCCUGUCAGAAUAAACAGGAAAGCCUGUUUCCAUGAUUUUUUUUUACAAUCUACAUGGUAAUUGGGGGUUUUCCUCCACACAUAAUGGACAUCAGAUUAUCAAAGACACCACAUUUUUAAUUUUUAUCUGUAAAAUUAAUAUCUAUGUUUUUUCCUUAUGCUUUUUGUGUUGGUCUAUCACAUAAAAUGACUACAAACUGAUUUGUUUCUGUAAAAAUUUUGAAUCUUAAAAUAAACUACAAGUAGCGUGGAUACAUUUGCAAUGCACUGUAAGUGUAUUUUAUUGAAAGCUUGCUAAUUUCAAAUGAGGUCUCCCUGAGUAGUAUUGAACAACAUGAAGGUUAAUGCUGUGUAUAGUGUAUGCCUAUAAAAAUAAAGGUUUAACUUUAUA